UUUUUUUUUUUUUUUUUCUUGAUGGCUUUUUGGUUGAGAAUAGAAUCACGGCACCACUACGAGAGUUCUUUUUGACCUUCUUUUUUCCUGUCAAGCUUUCUAUGGUUUCAUGGGAAUUGUUGGUGGCUUUCUCUUUAUAACUUUCUUGUGAUUCCCGGUUCAGUUCAUUCGAGGCACUAAGAGUAGAUAAGCCGGUGGGGAUUUCGAAGUCGAUUUUGGUUUGUUCUACAACUUUUGGUUUUUUAAGCACAGAUUUGGGUAAAUUCUGGUGCUUGUUGAUUUAUAUGGGUUAGUCUGAUUAAAAGAAGCUACCGGAGAAACAGGAGAAGAGUUGAGGAAAGAGGGUUGAGAGAUGUCAUCAAAAUCGACAAGCAAGGCUAAUAGUGCAAGGAGCAGUUCUGCUCGAUCAAGACAAAGUGCGCGUGUGGUUGCUCAGACGCCAAUUGAUGCAAAAUUGCAUGUUAACUUUGAAGAAUCUGAAUGCCAGUUUGAUUACUCUACAUCAAUUGACUUCAAUGUCUCGAGUUCAACUAGCAAUGUUCCUUCUCAAACUGUGUCUGCUUACCUCCAAAAGAUGCAGAGAGGUGGACUUAUUCAACCAUUUGGCUGCAUGAUUGCUGUUGAUGAGCAAAAUUUGAAGGUUCUUGCCUAUAGUGAAAAUGCCCCAGAAAUGUUGGACUUGGCACCACAUGCUGUUCCAAGUAUUGAGCAACAAGAAGCUCUGACUUUUGGAACGGAUAUACGGACACUUUUCCGGCCCCCAGGUGCAGCUGCCUUGCAUAAAGCAGCCAAUUUUGGGGAAGUUAAUCUUCUUAAUCCCAUAUUGGUCCAUUGUAAAACCAGCGACAAGCCAUUUUAUGCAAUUUUGCAUAGAAUUGAUGUGGGGUUGGUUAUAGAUCUGGAACCAGUUAAUCCAGCUGAUGUGCCAGUUACGGCUGCUGGGGCAUUGAAAUCAUAUAAACUUGCUGCCAAAGCCAUCUCAAGGUUGCAGUCAUUGCCCAGUGGGAAUAUAUCACUAUUAUGUGAUGUUUUAGUUCAGGAAGUUGGUGAUUUGACUGGUUAUGAUCGAGUUAUGGUUUAUAAAUUUCAUGAAGAUGAGCACGGGGAAGUUGUUGCAGAGUGCUGUAAACCUGAUUUGGAACCUUAUCUUGGCUUGCAUUACCCAGCUACGGAUAUACCACAAGCUUCAAGAUUUUUCUUCAUGAAAAACAAGGUACGGAUGAUAUGUGAUUGUUUGGCUUCCCCAGUAAAAAUAAUUCAAGACAAGAGCUUGGCACAACCAUUAAGUCUUUGUGGAUCCACGUUGAGAUCUCCUCAUGGUUGCCAUGCACAAUAUAUGGCAAAUAUGGGCUCAAUUGCAUCUCUUGUGAUGUCUGUGACAAUUAAUGAGGAUGGUGAUGAGAUAGAAAAUGAUCAGCAGAAGGGAAGAAAAUUGUGGGGUUUAGUGGUUUGCCAUCACAUGAGCCCCAGGUUUGUUUCAUUUCCUGUGAGGUAUGCUUGUGAGUUUUUGAUCCAAGUUUUUGGUGUUCAGAUCAACAAGCAAGUGGAGUUGGCAGCUCAAACAAGGGAAAAGCAUAUUUUGCAAACUCAAACUUUACUUUGUGACAUGCACCUUAGGGAUGCUCCUGUGGCAAUUAUUACUCAAUCACCUAAUGUGAUGGAUCUUGUCAAGUGUGAUGGAGCUGCUCUUUACUAUGGGAAGAAAUUUUGGUUGGUUGGUGUUACCCCUACAGAGGCACAGGUUAGAGAUAUAGCUGAAUGGCUUCUUGAUUAUCACAGUGAUAGUACAGGCUUAAUUACUGAUAGCCUUAUGGAAGCUGGCUACCCUGGUGCUUCAGUUCUUGGUGAUGCAAUCCAUGGGAUGGCUGCUGUUAGGAUUACUUCAAAAGAUUUCCUUUUUUGGUUUAGGUCCCACACUGCUAAAGAGAUUAAGUGGGGUGGUGCAAAGCACGACCCUGUUGACAAGGAUGAUGGAAGAAAGAUGCACCCCAGAUCAUCAUUCAAGGCUUUUCUGGAGGUAGUUAAAUGGAAGAGCUUUCCUUGGGAAGAUAUUGAAAUGGAUGCCAUUCAUUCUUUACAGCUGAUAUUGAGAGAAUCCUUGCAGAAUGAGGCCGCAGAUGUUUCCAAAACGAUUGUGAAUGUUCCAUCGGUUAAUGACAGAAUUCAAAGAGCAGAUGAAUUACGCAUCUUCACAAAUGAAAUGUUUCGUCUUAUUGAGACAGCUGCCGUACCUAUUAUGGCUGUAGAUGUCUUGGGUAAUAUAAAUGGCUGGAAUUCUAAAGCAGUUGAACUAACUGGUCUGCCUGUCGACCAAGCCAUUGGCAUGCCCUUAGUUGAUCUUGUUGAGGGUGACUCGAUCAAUGUAAUGACAAAUGUACUAUCUUCAGCUAUGCAAGGUGAUUCUACUUUCUAUUCUUGGACAGGUUUACGUUUUAUAUAUACAAACCAUACAUAUGGGCUAAUUUCAAAUUAGUUCAUAUAACUCCCACCAAAAAUUUAUUGCUUAUAUUUGCAUAUCUUGCUCAGAGCUGAUUUUUAUUGGAUGGCUUUUAUUGUAGAGGUAACUUCGGAGUUUAAAACAAAAUGCAACUAUCUGGUAAUUUGUUUCUAGUGUAUUUAUUCAUAACUUUAGAUGAGGAAUGCUAGAUGUUUUAGUGUUGUCGUGCUUGGGAUGUCUACUUUAUUAAUGAACCUUGCUAGAAUGUAAACAGUAUUGUAUGGGUUCCAGUUAUGAACUGAUUUUUCUAAUUGAAGGAAGUGCCAAGUAAUCUAGUGUAUCAGGUUAUUUUCAAUUUCUAUUGAACUUUUCUCAGUAGAAUUUUAUAGAAAUGGAUAACAGUAUUACAUCUUUCCUUCUCAGCCAGCAAUGUAAUUACUAGUACUAUGUGCAACACUUUGAUUUUUAAUUAGUAACAAGAGAUGUAAUGAUUUUUAAUAAACCAUGAAUAAUCCAAAUAUUUCAUGGUUUUCAGCAAGCAUCUAUCUUGACAGAUUGCCAAAAGAGAGAUAUAAAAGAGCUAAAUUGUAAUGUGAGAAGCCUGGUGUACUGGAACGUCCUUUCUGUUGUCUCCAUGUUCUUUUAACCUGCUAUGAGUUUUUUCCCCCUAAUCUUGCAGCAAUAUAUGACAGGUGUAGAAGAGAAAAGUGUUGAAAUCAAACUUAAGACUUUUGGUCCUCAGGUAAACAGUGGUCAUGUAUUUUUGGUAGUUAAUGCAUGUUGCAGUCGAGAUGUAAGGGAAAAUGUGGUGGGAGUUUGCUUUGUUGGGCAAGACCUUACAGGGCAAAAAGUGGUUAUGGAGAAAUACACCCAUAUGCAAGGUGAUUAUGUUGGAAUUGUGCGCAACCCGUCUACCCUUAUUCCACCAAUUUUUAUGACAAAUGAGAAUGGUCAAUGCCUGGAAUGGAAUUAUGCUAUGCAGAAAUUGUCUGGUUUGAAGAGGGAGGAAGCUGUUGAAAAAAUGCUUCUUGGGGAAGUUUUCACGGUCAACAGUUUUGGCUGUCGGGUCAAAGAUAAUGACACGUUAACCAAACUCAGGAUAUUACUGAACAGGGUAAUUGCUGGCCAGGAUGCAGAGAAAAUGUUAUUUGGAUUCUUUGAUCAGCAGGGUAAAUAUGUUGAAGCUUUGCUAUCUGCAAACAAAAGAACUGAUGCAGAGGGAAGGAUCACUGGAGUUCUGUUCUUCUUGCAUGUGGCUAGCCCAGAACUUCAAUAUGCUUUGCAGUUGCAGAGAAUGUCAGAACAGGCUGCAGCUAGCAGCUUUAAUAAAUUGGAAUAUGUUCACCAAGAAGUCAGGAAAACUUCAAACGGAAUUAUGCUAAUGCAGAAUUUAUUGGGUAAUUCAGACUUAAGCAAAGAACAGAGACAGCUUCUGAAGAUGAGCAUUUUGUGUCGAGAACAGUUAAACAAUAUUAUCAAUGACAAUAAUCUUGAGAGCAUUGAGGAAUGCUAUAUGGAAUUGAACUCUGGUGAGUUUAAUCUUGGAGAAACUCUGGAAGUUGUCAUAAAACAAGCUAUGACACUAAGCCUGGAGCGGCAGGUGGAGAUUAUACGUGAUUUACCAUCAGAACUGUCAUCCAUGCACUUAUAUGGAGAUAACUUGAGGCUUCAGCAAGUCCUUUCAGAUUUUAUGACAAAUGCACUCAUCUUUACCCCUGCAUUUGAGGGUUCAUCAAUUGCAUUCAGGGUAAUUCCAAGAAAGGAACGUAUAGGGAAGAAGAUGCACAUUGUUCAUCUUGAAUUUUGUAUCUCCCAUCCAGUCCCAGGAAUUCCAGAAGAUUUAAUGCAUGAGAUGUUUCACCACCGCCAGGGAGUUUCAAGAGAAGGCCUUGGCCUAUACAUCAGCCAGAAGCUUGUUAAGAUUAUGAAUGGAACUGUACAGUACCUUAGAGAAGCAGAAAGGUCAUCUUUCAUUGUCCUAAUAGAAUUUCCGUUGGCUAACCAGAUUAACGUUAGUUAAACUGAAUGGUUUCAUCAGUAGAGGAGAUGAACAAUAUCUACUGUCGGCUCAUGCCAUCAUAGAAAAAUGACUGUCUAAAUAGCUCGGCAAUCGGCAUUGAACCAGCAGUCACUUCAAGGGUGCCUGCUACUGGAAAUUACGCAUUGCAGCUUCAUGCAGUGCCUUAGUGUCGUAGAGAUUGUAAAGCCGGUGAGGAUUUUAUCUGGGGAUUCUAGCAAUGAAGAAGCAUAAUAAAUUCGGUCGAACACAGUCUCUUUCCAUGAUCUUCAUAAAUCAUUCCCUCCCUGUCAAUGAGAAAUUGUGUAAUUUAUUUAGCUUGAGCUGUCUCUUCCUUUAAGCUACAGAAGACUCAACCCUUAUGUUGUACAGUGGAACUACUCUUAGGUUAUCUAGGUUUAGCAAGGCUAUCCAGGGAGUUGUAUGGCUAAGGGGUAUGAAAAUUUAAUUUUGCGAGUUUUCAGAAGUUUAAGAUUGUGUGAUGUUGAUUACAUUGAUGUAUGAGGAAGAGGAUAAGUAUCAGCAGCAAGAUGAUAUUUAAUAAUUU
rnacentral:misc_RNA from 1 species